UACGGAGGGUGCGAGCGUUGUCCGGAAUCACUGGGCGUAAAGGGCGCGUAGGCGGCGCGGGAAGUCCGUGGUGAAAGCCCGAGGCUCAACUUCGGGUCGGCCAUGGAUACUCCUGGGCUUGAGCACUGUAGAGGCAGGUGGAAUUCGGGUGUAGCGGUGGAAUGCGUAGAGAUCCGGAAGACACCGGUGGCGAAGGGCGGCGACCUGGUCCGACACUGACGCUGAGGCGCGAAAGCGUGGGGGAGCAAACAGG
rnacentral:rRNA from 1 species